UCCAAUUGAAGCAGAGGACAGUGGCGGACGGGUGAGUAACGCGUGAGGAACCUGCCUUUCAGAGGGGGACAACAGUUGGAAACGACUGCUAAUACCGCAUGACACAUAGGUGUCGCAUGGCACUUAUGUCAAAGAUUUUAUCGCUGAUAGAUGGGCUCGCGUCCGAUUAGAUAGUUGGUGGGGUAACGGCCUACCAAGGCGACGAUCGGUAGCCGGACUGAGAGGUUGAACGGCCACAUUGGGACUGAGACACGGCCCAGACUCC
rnacentral:rRNA from 1 species